AAGAGACAGCAGUAGCCGCGGGAAUACGGAGGGUGCAAGCGUUAUCCGGAUUCACUGGGUUUAAAGGGUGCGUAGGCGGAUCUGUAAGUCAGUGGUGAAAUCUCCAGGCUUAACCUGGAAACUGCCGUUGAUACUAUAGGUCUUGAAUUUUGUGGAGGUUAGCGGAAUAUGUCAUGUAGCGGUGAAAUGCAUAGAUAUGACAUAGAACACCAAUUGCGAAGGCAGCUGGCUACACAACUAUUGACGCUGAGGCACGAAAGCGUGGGGAUCAAACAGGAUUAGAUACCCCCGUAGUCCCUGUCUCUUAUAC
rnacentral:rRNA from 1 species